AGGACGAACGCUGGCGGCGUGCUUAACACAUGCAAGUGGAGCGACGAACCAGGGCUUGCCCUGGGGCAGAGCCGCGAACGGGUGAGUAACACGUGGGUUACCUGCCUCGAUGACCGGGACAACCCGAGGAAACUCGGGCUAAUACCGGAUGUGCCCGCAAGGGGAAAGGAAGCUUCGGCCUCCGCAUUGAGAUGGGCCCGCGGCCCAUUAGCUUGUUGGUGAGGUAACGGCUCACCAAGGCUUCGAUGGGUAGCUGGUCUGAGAGGACGAUCAGCCACACUGGGACUGAGACACGGCCCAGACUCCUACGGGAGGCAGCAGUGGGGAAUCUUGCGCAAUGCGCGAAAGCGUGACGCAGCAACGCCGCGUGGGGGAAGAAGGCUUUCGGGUUGUAAACCCCUUUCAGUUGGGACGAAGCUUCUCCGGUGAAUAGCCGGAUGGAGUGACGGUACCUUCACAAGAAGCACCGGCUAACUACGCGCCAGCAGCCGCGGU
rnacentral:rRNA from 1 species